rnacentral:lncRNA from 1 species
CAUCUCCAGAGAACCUGGGCCAUCUGUGGCCAUCCGUUUUAAAUGGAAGCCUCCAGCCUCCCCAUGCUGAUGUGCCUAGGGGAGCCAACCCCUGAGGAGGGAGAAAUCUCUGUGAGUCCUGAAGAUGUUGACAUGCAAGGGGAGUCAGACUAGCAUCUCAAAAUUCUGAAAACACCCAGGAACCUGACUGGAUGGUGAAGUGGCUGCUGACGGAGGUGGAGUCUCCCCCAGUUUACAAACUUUUUGUUCAUUUUCUUCUACCUAUCCAUAACUCUUCAGUGUGCAAUGGUGAAAAAAUCUCAAGAUCAAUAGGGUCCAGUAUCAGCCUGCUGGUCAAAGGAGCCCGUUCUGUCUGUUCUGUCGAUCCCAUGGCAGAAGACUGGGAGAAGUUCCUGGGAGGCCCUGAAAGCCUCCUCUGCACGCUCCUUCCCCCAGUUGCUGCUUCCUCUGAGUGC